CAAAUGAGGAUUUGCGGUUGCAGUAGGGGGAGGUGGGGGUGGGGAUUUGGGUGGAGGCACUGAAGGUGGUAGUGGUGGAGUGGGGAGGGCCAUCCGAAAUGGAGCUGGAAUGUUCAUUUUGUUCAUCAAAUGCAACACCUGUGUAUAAAAGCGAGGAACAGCAAUAAGAGCAUUUACAAUGUUGGUCAGAAUGUUUCCAUCUGGAGGAGGAUAAGCAUACUCCAGGUGGGGAGGAAAUGGAUAAUCUACACCAAGCCUUGAAGCAAUAGGCUCACUAGCAGGUAUGGACUUAGAACCAUUGCCAAGAUCACCUGUCAUAGAGGCCUUCUUUUCCACAGAAGUUGGUGCUGUAUAAUCCUUCCCCAAUUGAGCUUCACUUUGUUUAUGC
rnacentral:misc_RNA from 1 species